rnacentral:lncRNA from 1 species
UAGACCUUCAGAUGUGAGUCAUCCAAAGCCAGCGCCCUUCCAACCUUGAUGCAUGGCUCUGGGGUUUUCUCCAGCCUUUGCAAUUCCCUGGAGAGACUUCGUGAAGAUCUCCAGCUCACAAGACGGAGAGAAAUAUGCUGAGUCCUGCUGCUGGUGGAGUCAUCUGGGAGAUCUACACUUCCCAGUUCUCCAUGGCAACUCAAUCAGGUCAAACUGUGCUCUCCCAGUGAGACCCUGA